rnacentral:rRNA from 1 species
GAUGAACGCUGGCGGCGUGCUUAACACAUGCAAGUCGAACGGUGAAGCCCAGCUUGCUGGGUGGAUCAGUGGCGAACGGGUGAGUAACACGUGAGCAAUCUGCCCCUGACUCUGGGAUAAGCGCUGGAAACGGCGUCUAAUACUGGAUAUGAACCGUGGAGGCAUCUUCAACGGUUGGAAAGAUUUUUGGUCAGGGAUGAGCUCGCGGCCUAUCAGCUUGUUGGUGAGGUAAUGGCUCACCAAGGCGUCGACGGGUAGCCGGCCUGAGAGGGUGACCGGCCACACUGGGACUGAGACACGGCCCAGACUCCUACGGGAGGCAGCAGUGGGGAAUAUUGCACAAUGGGCGCAAGCCUGAUGCAGCAACGCCGCGUGAGGGAUGACGGCCUU